rnacentral:rRNA from 1 species
UACGUAGGGUGCAGGCGUUAAUCGGAAUUACUGGGCGUAAAGCGUGCGCAGGCGGUUUCUUAAGUCAGAUGUGAAAGCCCCGGGCUUAACCUGGGAACUGCGUUUGAAACUGGGAGACUUGAGUAUGGCAGAGGGGGGUGGAAUUCCGCGUGUAGCAGUGAAAUGCGUAGAGAUGCGGAGGAACACCGAUGGCGAAGGCAGCCCCCUGGGCCAAUACUGACGCUCAGGCACGAAAGCGUGGGGAGCAAACAGG